GUUCCUGGGAGAAGACAAUGCAUAUGCAAUGACUUCCCUGCUUGCUGUGGCCCAGUGCAGAGGUGUGGAAGUAUCGUGCAAGGAGGAUGCGUGUGAGGCAGCGAGUGGAUCUUCCAGGCUUUGUGGGCAGUGCUACGGAGCAAUGGGCAAGUGCGGAGCAGUAAGGCCAGUGGAGGACAUGAGUCACACGACUUUGAUGAGCCCAGUCCCUGGCUCUCUCACGUGCAACUUGCAGGAAUCUCAUCCUACAGCCCCCAGUUAAUGGCUGAGGAGAGAGAAGCUUCUGGGAGGAUGAGGAGAGGGAGCACCCAGACAGGAAGCCUUGGCAGCCUGUUGCAAGAGGGUAGCCGUGGUGAAAGAAAUAUGGUAGAGAUGCUGGGGCCUCAGGCAAAACAACACAAUACUUCUGGAAAGGUUGAGUAAGCACCAGAAUGAAGACCGGGAGCCGUAUGGGAAGACUCGAGCAAGAGACGCAGGGGCUUUCCAAGGGCUUCAAGAAGGAAAAAACCAGCAAUGACGUCAGCCAAUGCUGAUGGGUCUGACAAGAAGACAGAUUCUAUGGAGGAGUUGUUGUGAAGGGCUUUAGAAAGAGAAGUGCAAAAGAAGAAAAUUGUCUUUCCUCUUGGUUCUCCCCGGCCGCUUUCCAUGAGGAUCACAGCACAUGUUGGUGUUGGUGACACCACUGCACGGGAGAGACGAACAAUGCAAGGGGGGACUGAAAUUCAACCAGAAAAGCGGUUGGUUACUAUCGAGCUAUUGGGCAUGGUGUGCCAGACCAGUCAUGACUACAGCCGGUAAGGCCUGUGAUGACCUUUCUCCUGCACGGAACUUUCUAGCACCUUGAAAGUCAAUCAGUAGGCAUGGAGUUUCCAGAGAAGGGCCGGCCUCCCAGGGAUAUCAAGCUGCAGCGAGACAGGCAGCCUCGUCGAUUAAGGAUGGAGGAGGCCAUCCUGUAGGAGGAUGGGGCCCAAAGGCAUGCAGCAGAAGCAGGGGCAGCCUCUCUGGCUGUUGGUUUAGUCUCCGUCAGCCCCUGUGAGUUCAGCUUAUUAUGGCAAAAGGGUACAAAUCUGACGUUUGAAGAAAGAGUGGAGCCCAGAAUUUGGGACAAGAGGACUCCAAACAGAAAGCUCUGCAGCUUCCAGAACACAUCACCUUCUGGCAUCCACACGCAGCAACGUAUGUAUGGCGCACUGCCGACCCUUGACCUCGCCCAGUCACCAAAGUAAAGGCUUUACUCCGCCUUCCUUGUCCCAUCCUCUGGCUGCCUCCAGUCCCCAGGACCUGGGAAGAUAGAAUACAACUGAGCGUCCCAACCCCUCUUUCUGGCUCACCCAGACACAACUUGAGUGAUGUCAUUAACAUAAACUCUCAGGAAAGCACUAUGAGUCAUCUCAUUAGCAUAAAUGGUCCAAAAGGCCCAUCAUGGAUUGAAUAACAAUCCAGUAAAUUCUAAAGAUUUGGAGUUAAUCUGAAUCUCCAGUCCCUGUCUUCUGUAACAGGGAAAGAUACUCUAAGGAGAGAUACUUGUGCCCCUCCCCUUCGGUAUUAGACAAUUAACACAGUUAUCGCCAAGGAACUGAAAUUCCUCCAGGAAGCCUGUGUUUGGAGAAGAGAAAGGCUAGAGUUUAGUACCAAAGAAGGAAUUUGUCUCCUGGGAAGAGAUUUCACACAGCCUGACAACUUCUCAGACCUCUGUUGGAACACCCUAGAGCCUGGACCACACCUGGACCACGACUGUUUAGCUAUGUCUAUCUCUUGCCCUCAAUUUAAACCGAAGACUAUGUCAGUACCUCCAAAUGCUCUUAGGGAAGCACUGAACCUCUUUAAGUUUUCUGAUUAUGACAGGAAAUUUGAAAUAUUUAUCUUGUUGUUUUAUUAGGGUAGAGAGAGAAAAUGCAGGCGAAGUCCUCAGCACAAUGCCUAAUAGAUAUUGCCAUUGCAUUUCCUCCUUCUCCCUGUCUACCUGGUGCAUUUCCUAAACUUAUAUGACAAGAGCGAAGAUGCAGGGGUGGGCAUGGGGGUGAGGGUUUUAUAAAGUGAUAUAGUCACAUAAUUAAGAAUUUGUGACCAGUGAUGCUGGGUUAAUUCUCCACAACUUGAUCAGAUCUUAGAGAGGUUCAAAGAAAGAGACGGAUUUCCAGGGUGAAAACUCCCACCCAGUUCCAGGAAAAGGAGGGCUCUUUUCAGGCCCUUCUUAGCUUCAGAACCACAGGCUGUGGGCUUUGCAGAUCAUGGAAGACAGAAAAUCAAGAGAUUCAGAGCCUGGAUGUUGGGUGGCCCUACAGGUUAAAGGUUGCAGUUCCCCAUGUCCAGGCAGCUCUCUCUGAGCUUGGCCCGAGAUGGAGGACUCCCUACCCAUCUUGGGGGCUUUCCCACUCUCUGCCUGACUUUGUUUGGAGGCUCUCUCUAAGCCUGGCUGGCUGACUUAUCUUAGGUGUGACCUUUGGCACAGUUCUCUACAAACAACCUCCCCCACCCCCCAGCCAUCAUGAUAACAGGCAUUGUGCUAGCAGCUUUGUGAUAGGAGCAUGCUGCCAGGCAGUUAGGUGAGCCCGGCUGCCCUUCCCAACAAUCUACUUAUCUCUGACUCUAGAGUAGAACCCUGCUAGCUGCUUCUGCUCCUUUGUCCUCGUGGCCUGGUGGUCAUUGGACCUCAAAGGAAAAGGAGACCGACAUUUGGGUGCUGGGAUAAGAAAGAAAGCUGGGUGUGGUUCCCUCUGGCUUUGUCUACCUGGGUGUCUAAUCCUGUGAGUUUCACCUUUCUGUUUUUAAAUAUGGAAGAGAUGGCUCAGCAGUUAAGAGCACUGGCUGGUUUGAUUCCCAGCACUCACAUGGCAGUUCACAACAGUUAAUAACUACAGUCUUAGGGCAUCUGAUGUCUUCUGGCCCUGAUGGGCAUCAGGCACACACAUGGUUCAUGGAUGUAUGUGCAGGAAGAACACCCAUGAACGUAAAAAUAAGUAUAUAUUUAAAACUAUGAAAAACGCUAUAUCCCUAAAGAGCAUAGAGUUGUUAAAAAUAAUAAAUGAGCUUCUAUAAGUGGAA